UACGUAGGUGGCAAGCGUUGUCCGGAAUUAUUGGGCGUAAAGCGCGCGCAGGCGGUUCCUUAAGCCUGAUGUGAAAGCCCCCGGCUCAACCGGGGAGGGUCAUUGGAAACUGGGGAACUUGAGUGCAGAAGAGAAGAGCGGAAUUCCACGUGUAGCGGUGAAAUGCGUAGAGAUGUGGAGGAACACCAGUGGCGAAGGCGGCUCUUUGGUCUGUAACUGACGCUGAGGCGCGAAAGCGUGGGGAGCAAACAGG
rnacentral:rRNA from 1 species